CCCUGGACUCUGCCUGCUCUGUAUCCUUGGGGCAAGCAGUUCUCAGAGUCUGUGCAGAGCCCAGCUGGUGCUGCAGCUGAGGGAACCGGGCAAGCAUAGAUUCUACUUUGAACAGACAUCUGGAUCAUCCCCAGGUGUGUUGAUUUGAAGAGAAGAGGAACAUCCUGAAAUAGUGGCCAAGAACUCAGAGAACCCAGAGGAGGUUGAAGCCAGAAGAGAGAGGAGUCUAGACACCUGAGUAACAGAGCUUCCGGAGAGUGAGACAUUGUUUCAUUGAGGAGAAAAACUCCUCAGGUUCCCGAGAAUCUCGACACAGUCACAGGUAUCUAGUUUCCUCCCAGGCUUCUCCGGAAAAAUAAUGCUUUGGUUGAUCAUGGUAUUUUCUUGGAGCACUAGCUCUGGCAUAAAUAUACAGUCGGAAAAUGAUGCCAUCCUGGAAGAUAUACAAUAUGUUCCUGGCAAGAGACACUAGGCAUAUCUCUUCUACUGCCUGCUGCCCUUCCCAGAAUCCAGCUGCAUCGUGAAGGACCCACAGCUUGGAAAUUGAAGCAAUGAAGGAACUGAGCCUCUGUAAUUGCUUGCUUCCCCUGGGUCAGAGGCAGACAGAUAUGUGUCAAUCAGGAUGUGGUUUUUGUACAUAAGAAGCAAAGAACAAUGAGACUUGGGGUACACAGUUUGGGCAAGUUCCUGACUGACAAGUUCCUGCUGGCCAUUGUGUCAUCAAAUAAAGAUAUUCUAUUGGUU
rnacentral:lncRNA from 1 species